UAAUAAGUGUUUUAUGGCACUUUUUAAAUCCAUAUCCACCUUGUGUGCAAUGCAGUCGAUCUUCUUCAUGGAGAUCGACCAAACAUCAACCUUUAUCUUUUAACUCUUUGUCUGAAAAAUAUUAUGAAUAAACAAUUCAAAAUA
rnacentral:misc_RNA from 1 species